CGGAGGGUGCGAGCGUUGUUCGGAAUCACUGGGCGUAAAGGGCGUGUAGGCGGUCCGCUAAGUCUGAUGUGAAAGCCCGGGGCUCACCCCCGGAAGGGCAUUGGAAACUGACGGACUCGAGUCCCGAAGAGGAGGGUGGAAUUCCUGGUGUAGCGGUGAAAUGCGUAGAUAUCAGGAGGAACACCGGUGGCGAAGGCGGCCCUCUGGACGGUGACUGACGCUGAGACGCGAAAGCGUGGGGAGCAAACAGGAUUAGAUACCCUGGUAGUCCACGCUGUAAACGAUGAGCACUAGGUGUCGUGGGUAUUGACCCCCGCGGUGCCGUAGCUAACGCAUUAAGUGCUCCGCCUGGGGACUACGGCCGCAAGGUUA
rnacentral:rRNA from 1 species